UACAGAGGUCCCAAGCGUUGUUCGGAUUCACUGGGCGUAAAGGGUGCGUAGGCGGUCGGGUAAGUCUGAUGUGAAAUCUCACAGCUUAACUGUGAAACUGCAUUGGAUACUAUCCGGCUCGAGGAAUGGAGGGGAGACUGGAAUACUUGGUGUAGCAGUGAAAUGCGUAGAUAUCAAGUGGAACACCAGUGGCGAAGGCGAGUCUCUGGAUAUUUCCUGACGCUGAGGCACGAAAGCCAGGGGAGCAAACGGG
rnacentral:rRNA from 1 species